AGAGCGCAGGCAGCGCGCAGGCAGAGCGCAGGCAGCGCGCGAAGCGCCAGGGCAGCAGCAGCAGCACCGCCGGGAGCCGCGCUCUGUUCUCCCCUCCCUGGUGAAUUCCAGCCUCAAGGACGGGGGAAUCGGGGGGACGAACGCGGAGCCAGUAAAGGCAGGAGAACCCGCGGCGUCUCUUUAGGUACCUGCUGCCUCACCAUGAAGCUCCUGACAGCAGCGCUGCUUCUGCUGUUCAUCGUGAUGUGCUUGGCCAGCGCAGAAGGGUUUAUGAAGAAUAAGAGGAAGCGGCAUGAAGAACAGAGCAGACUCCCUUGGCUGGCAUAGGACUGGGCUCUGCAGAAGAUUAUUUCUCUCUCACAGACAUAAGACACAAUCUAUAUUAUUAUAAAGCACUUUUUACCAAGGGUCAGUUUUUACAUUUUAUAGCCACAUGCAAAAGGCUUCCAGAUUCCACAUGCAUCUGUUGCACUUCAGAUUUCAUACCCGUCUGCUCUGUACUGAGAUUGGGGAAACUCAUGCUUUUCAUUUUAAAGAGGUUGGAUUUGGAUUUGUUGGGGUUUUUUUUAUUGUUAUUCAUUCAUACUUCACUAUGAUUGCAAUCGAGCUUUAUAAGCUCAUUAAACAAACAGUAAUGUUUGUAAAGGUGUUAUACAGCCAUGUCCCUCACCCUUUCGCAGUGGGAAAGCUUCGGUGCUGUGGUUCUUUGUCAUGUUUGCAGCCUCCAAUUUAGUCAGGCAAAGCAGGGACCAAAGAUGAGCUUGCUGGGGAAGAUGCCACUGGAAUGUCAUGGCUGUAACAGCAGAAGUGAGGUCCCUCAGCCCAUCGUCAAUGAGUGUGAACAUCACUUGUGCACCUCUUCUUCAAUGGACUUGAGGUCUUGCUGCAAGGUGAAGCAUACCAGAUCUCCUAUCUAAUGUUCCAUGCAUUAGAAAGCAUUUCUAGGUCAUUUUUAUUACUAAGCAAAUGUUUAUUUUGUUUUUCGUUUUUGGUUUUUUGGGGGUUUUUUUUUUCCAACUGAAGCUCUUACAGAAAGUUUGUGGCUUCAUUACUGAGACAUUUUAAGCUUCAAGACUAUCGUGUAUGAUUUCCUAGAUUUGUAGCAAUGAAAAAAAGCCUUUAAAAGGUACCUUUUUAUGAAAAAAAUAUGAUAGGGCAAACAUAUAAAUACCUAUGUUUUAGUCACAACAUAUUCAUUAUUUUGAAUGUAAUACUUCAAUGUUAAGCAGUGCAUUCCUCUUUCUAAAAUAACAAAACUACCUUUUCAUUUGUAAAUAUACUCUAGGAAGUCUCCCUGUAUUAUCUCGCUGUAUAAUGUACUGUACCGCUAAAUUAUCAUAUGCUAUUUAAAUGGUUGAAAUAUUUAGAAGGUUGCAUGCAGAUUUCAUAUUUCUUUCUAAGACAAAUGAAAAAAAGAAAUAAAAAAUGUAUUUAAAACCA
rnacentral:lncRNA from 1 species